GCGGAGGAAAAGAAACUAACAAGGAUUCCCCUAGUAACUGCGAGUGAAGCGGGAAAAGCUCAAAUUUAAAAUCUGGCGGUCUUUGGCCGUCCGAGUUGUAGUCUGGAGAAGUGCUUUCCGCGCUGGACCGUGUAUAAGUCUCUUGGAACAGAGCGUCAUAGAGGGUGAGAAUCCCGUCUUUGACACGGACUACCAGUGCUUUGUGAUGCGCUCUCAAAGAGUCGAGUUGUUUGGGAAUGCAGCUCAAAAUGGGUGGUGAAUUCCAUCUAAAGCUAAAUAUUGGCGAGAGACCGAUAGCGAACAAGUACCGUGAGGGAAAGAUGAAAAGCACUUUGGAAAGAGAGUUAAACAGUACGUGAAAUUGCUGAAAGGGAAACGCUUGAAGUCAGUCGCGUCUGCCGGAACUCAGCCUUCCUUUUGGUUGGUGCACUUUCUGGUAGACGGGCCAGCAUCGAUUUUGACCGUAGGAUAAGGGCUGGAGAAAUGUGGCACCUUCGGGUGUGUUAUAGUCUUCAGUCGCAUACUACGGUUGGGAUCGAGGACCGCAGCGCGCCGCAAGGCAGGGGUUCGCCCACUUUCGCGCUUAGGAUGCUGGCAUAAUGGCUUUAAACGACCCGUCUUGAAACACGGACCAAGGAGUCUAACAAACCUGCGAGUGUUUGGGUGGAAAACCCGAGCGCGUAAUGAAAGUGAAAGUUGAGACCUCUGUCGUGGAGGGCAUCGACGCCCGGACCUGACGUUCUCUGACGGAUCCGCGGUAGAGCAUGUUUGUUGGGACCCGAAAGAUGGUGAACUAUGCCUGAAUAGGGUGAAGCCAGAGGAAACUCUGGUGGAGGCUCGUAGCGAUUCUGACGUGCAAAUCGAUCGUCAAAUUUGGGGUAUAGGGGCGAAAGACUAAUCGAACCAUCUAGUAGCUGGUUCCUGCCGAA
rnacentral:rRNA from 1 species